UGGUUCUGGCAUCGAUGAAGAACGCAGCGAAAUGCGAUAGGUAAUGUGAAUUGCAGAAUUUAGUGAAUCAUCGAAUCUUUGAACGCACAUUGCGCCCAUUGGUACUCCGAUGGGCAUGCACGUUCGAGCGUCAUUAGACCCCCUCAAGUUAAACUUGGUGUUGAGCCCUGCUGGUCAGCCAGCUGGCUCUAAAAUCAGUGGCAGCUGCCCCUGGCUCUAAGCGUAGUAACUACCCUCGCUCUUGUGCCUGGUGGUUUGCUUGCCAACAACCCCCGACUCCUAUGUUUGACCUCGGAUCGUGUAGGAAUACCCGCUGA
rnacentral:misc_RNA from 1 species